UACGUAGGGUGCGAGCGUUAAUCGGAAUUACUGGGCGUAAAGUGUGCGCAGGCGGCUUGGCAAGUCGAGUGUGAAAUCUCCGGGCUUAACUUGGGAAUUGCGCUCGAAACUACCUGGCUAGAGUGUGGCAGAGGAAGGUGGAAUUCCACGUGUAGCGGUGAAAUGCGUAGAGAUGUGGAGGAACACCGAUGGCGAAGGCAGCCUUCUGGGCCAACACUGACGCUCAUGCACGAAAGCGUGGGGAGCAAACAGG
rnacentral:rRNA from 1 species